UACGGAGGGGGCUAGCGUUGUUCGGAUUUACUGGGCGUAAAGCGCACGUAGGCGGCUUUGCAAGUUAGAGGUGAAAGCCCGGGGCUCAACUCCGGAAUUGCCUUUAAAACUGCAUCGCUAGAAUUGUGGAGAGGUAAGUGGAAUUCCGAGUGUAGAGGUGAAAUUCGUAGAUAUUCGGAAGAACACCAGUGGCGAAGGCGACUCACUGGACACGUAUUGACGCUGAGGUGCGAAAGCGUGGGGAGCAAACAGG
rnacentral:rRNA from 1 species